AUCUUUUGAGCUUAUAGGUUGCUUUAGUGAUUCACUUAUAUCUUUUAAAACACGGUGGCAUGUAGGUUUUACAAAAAUAAUUGCACUCUCGUUCUUCACUUAUAUUUGUCUGAGAGUUAAUAAAGAGGGAUACUAAUUUGCAUGGGUUUUAAGACUAGUACAAAAAUAGUAGGUAUUGAAUGAGUGCAUAAUCAAAACCACAUGUAGCACAUAUAAGAGAAAACAUGGUUACUUAUCUUAAUGUGGUAAUGUCAAAAAGAAUCAUUGGUUAAUAUAG
rnacentral:lncRNA from 1 species